AGUGAACGCUGGCGGUAGGCCUAACACAUGCAAGUCGAACGGCAGCACAGUAAGAGCUUGCUCUUACGGGUGGCGAGUGGCGGACGGGUGAGGAAUACAUCGGAAUCUACUUUUUCGUGGGGGAUAACGUAGGGAAACUUACGCUAAUACCGCAUACGACCUACGGGUGAAAGCAGGGGAUCUUCGGACCUUGCGCGAUUGAAUGAGCCGAUGUCGGAUUAGCUAGUUGGCGGGGUAAAGGCCCACCAAGGCGACGAUCCGUAGCUGGUCUGAGAGGAUGAUCAGCCACACUGGAACUGAGACACGGUCCAGACUCCUACGGGCGGCAGCGGUGGGGAAUAUUGGACAAUGGGCGCAAGCCUGAUCCAGCCAUACCGCGUGGGUGAAGAAGGCCUUCGGGUUGUAAAGCCCUUUUGUUGGGAAAGAAAAGCAGCAGGUUAAUACCCCGCUGUUCUGACGGUACCCAAAGAAUAAGCACCGGCUAACUUCGU
rnacentral:rRNA from 1 species